rnacentral:rRNA from 1 species
CGUAGGGUGCGAGCGUUAAUCGGAAUUACUGGGCGUAAAGCGUGCGCAGGCGGUUUUGUAAGUCUGUCGUGAAAUCCCCGGGCUCAACCUGGGAAUUGCGAUGGAGACUGCAAGGCUAGAAUCUGGCAGAGGGGGGUAGAAUUCCACGUGUAGCAGUGAAAUGCGUAGAGAUGUGGAGGAACACCGAUGGCGAAGGCAGCCCCCUGGGUCAAGAUUGACGCUCAUGCACGAAAGCGUGGGGAGCAAACAGGAUUAGAUACCCUGGUAGUCCACGCCCUAAACGAUGUCUACUAGUUGUCGGGUUUUAAUUAACUUGGUAUCGCAGCUAACGCGUGAAGUAGACCGCCUGGGGAGUACGGUCGCAAGAUUAA